rnacentral:rRNA from 1 species
AAUAGAUACCCCGGUAGUCCACGCCGUAAACGAUGAGUGCUAAGUGUUAGAGGGUUUCCGCCCUUUAGUGCUGCAGCAAACGCAUUAAGCACUCCGCCUGGGGAGUACGGUCGCAAGACUGAAACUCAAAGGAAUUGACGGGGGCCCGCACAAGCGGUGGAGCAUGUGGUUUAAUUCGAAGCAACGCGAAGAACCUUACCAGGUCUUGACAUCCCGUGACAACUCUAGAGAUAGAGCUUUCCCCUUCGGGGGACACGGUGACAGGUGGUGCAUGGUUGUCGUCAGCUCGUGUCGUGAGAUGUUGGGUUAAGUCCCGCAACGAGCGCAACCCUUGAUCUUAGUUGCCAGCAUUAAGUUAGGCACUCUAAGGUGACUGCCGGUGACAAACCGGAGGAAGGUGGGGAUGACGUCAAAUCAUCAUGCCCCUUAUGACCUGGGCUACACACGUGCUACAAUGGAUGGUACAAAGGGCAGCAAAACCGCGAGGUUAAGCCAAUCCCAUAAAAACCAUUCUCAGUUCGGAUUGCAGG